rnacentral:lncRNA from 1 species
CUAAUCUGCAGGCUCAGAGAUCCUUUCAAAGGGAAUCUGCAGCGCCCCUCACACUCCUACGAUUCCUAGAUCCAAAUCUCCUUUGUAGGUGCAUGAAGAGAGGUAAGAACAAGAGGGAACUGAAUUCUUGCCAAACAGAUAAAGAAGGAGAGUAUCAGCUAAGAAAUAUUUCCAGAAAAUGACUUCAUUAAUUUAUCCCUUCAUCAGCAAAGACAUACCAAGUUUAAUUGUGGCAAAGUUAUAGGUAAACAAGAUAUCAAACACCAAGUUUUUGGCUCUCAAAGAGUGUCUGAUCAUAAGAGGACAUAAUCUGUUGUGCUAUAAAUUACUUUUGAAUGUAGUUCCAAGAAAGCCUUGUCUCUUGUCAGGAAGUGAU